GUUGGUGAACCAGCGGAGGGAUCAUUACUGAGUGCAAACUCUCCAACCAUUGUUUAUCUACCUAUUUUUGCUUCUCCGGCAGGCGGUUCCAGGGAGGGACCGAGCCUAUGGCCUAGCCUAAGCACCUGCCGAAGGGGUACCUACUGCUCUAUAUUAUACUGUCUGAGAAAACAAAAAAAAUUAUCAAAAUUUUCAAUUGUGGAUCUCUUGGUUCUG
rnacentral:misc_RNA from 1 species